rnacentral:rRNA from 1 species
UACGGGGGGGGCAAGCGUUGUUCGGAAUUACUGGGCGUAAAGGGCUCGUAGGUGGCCAACUAAGUCAGACGUGAAAUCCCUCGGCUUAACCGGGGAACUGCGUCUGACACUGGAUGGCUUGAGAUUGGGAGAGGGAUGCGGAAUUCCAGGUGUAGCGGUGAAAUGCGUAGAUAUCUGGAGGAACACCUGUGGCGAAAGCGGCGCACUGGACCAUUACUGACGCUGAUGCACGAAAGCGAGGGGAGCAAACAGG